rnacentral:rRNA from 1 species
AAACCAACUGGGAUUACCUUAGUAACGGCGAGUGAAGCGGUAAAAGCUCAAAUUUGAAAUCUGGUACUUUCAGUGCCCGAGUUGUAAUUUGUAGAAUUUGUCUUUGAUUAGGUCCUUGUCUAUGUUCCUUGGAACAGGACGUCAUAGAGGGUGAGAAUCCCGUUUGGCGAGGAUACCUUUUCUCUGUAAGACUUUUUCGAAGAGUCGAGUUGUUUGGGAAUGCAGCUCAAAGUGGGUGGUAAAUUCCAUCUAAAGCUAAAUAUUGGCGAGAGACCGAUAGCGAACAAGUACAGUGAUGGAAAGAUGAAAAGAACUUUGAAAAGAGAGUGAAAAAGUACGUGAAAUUGUUGAAAGGGAAGGGCAUUUGAUCAGACAUGGUGUUUUUAGCAUGCACUCGCCUCUCGUGGGCUUGGGCCUCUCAAAAACUUUCACUGGGCCAACAUCAGUUCUGGCAGCAGGAUAAAUCAUUAAGAAUGUAGCUACCUCGGUAGUGUUAUAGCUUAUUGGAAUA